ACAUGACUGCAAGGAAAGUUUAACAUAGAACACCACCCCUCCACUGUACACUGUGACCAAGUGUCCCAACCAUAUUAUGUAAAUGCAACUUAGGCUAGAAACGCAUAACCUAAUAGUUUAGUUACUGGCUACUAUACCGUCAGAGCACUGGCAUACUUCAUUUGACCAGUAGUUCGUUAGUUAUGGUUAGUUUUCGUUCUUAAACCGCGCCCCCCUUAACGUAACUCUGCAGCCGAUCGUUACAAAUAAUUAUUCAGAACUGCUAUAACCGUAGUUCGGCUCUGCUAAUCGUUUUGUUAGAAACAUCAGUUUCUCAUCUCAUCUGGAUACUUUGGGAAUGGGUGCAGCACAGUCGAUUCCGGUGGUCGGAGAAAUCGUCACUGCUGUUGAUAGCAGUGUGAAGAUAGUUGUAGCAGGUGGUUGCGCUCUUGCAGGAGAGAUACUAGACGACCAGGAUGCUAAAGAUGCUGCCAAAAAGUUUGUAAAGGAUGCUGGGAAUUCUUGGGUUGAAUAUUCCGAGAGAAGUCUAAUUGUUGCUCCAGUUCGUGCAGCUGUUCAUAGUGCUGCUGGUGACGAGGCUGAAGCGAAGAGAGUCCUGAAGAAGAUGGGUAAAUCAACUGAGCAAGUUAUUGACAGCACUCCAGUUGUUGGGCACGUAAAAGGUGUAGUUCACUACGCAAUGGGGGAUAAGGAACAUGGUCAUGAUUGCAUGAAGGGUGCCAGUCGCACAUUGGUUGUGGUGGGAGCUGGAGCUCUAACUGGUGGAGUUGGAGGAGGAUUCGUUCUUGGUGGACUAGCAGGCGCAUCAGGUGGUGUUGCGUACGAUGGAACGAUAUCUGCAAUUGAAAGUAAGCCUUAUGGAAUUGUAGAAUCUAUCGACCAGGCAAUUGAAUCUGAUAAAAAGAGAGAUGGUCACGGUUUCCUCAACUCAGCAAUAAAUGUUGCAUACUCUGUUACCGGAGAUUUUCUUACCGGAGCUACUGCGGCAAAGGGCACCAAGGAGUUGAACAAAGCUUCAAAGCAAAGGAAAGUGUUGAAAAAUGAAAUUGGAAAAGACGCCGCCAAGGAUGUUGUAGACACUGGCAAGAAGUUAAAAAAAGUAAUGAAGAAAGUAAAUGGAGAUGACCACGUUUGCACGAAAGCCAAAAACCUGGAAACAGGAAACGAAACUUACGGGACAAACAAACGGUGCAGACAAGAGAUGAGAAUGAAUGAGUAUGCCUCGAAAGGUGAAGCUAGUGGAUACACCAGUAAAACAAAUGCUAGGAAAGGACAUGUCGGUGAAUUCCCAAGAAAGGCAGGAAUCCUUGAAAAAACAGCAAAUGAGAUGAAUAUGGAUAUUGAGCCGAAAGUAAGCAAUCGAGCUCUAAAUGCUUGUGCUGAACAUCAUGCCAUUGAGAAGCUGGGUACUCACGGGCCGAAACUAAUAUCCGUACAACUACUGUCAAGUCUAGUAAUGGGCAUAUCACAGCUAUAAAGAGAUGCGACAAUUGUAUGCAGUUCGACCCUCUGAUGGGAGAUGUGCCCACCGAUGGUAUUCAUGGGAUGCCUGUACCUACACGUCAGUUCGUUCUUGAUACGUCCCUGCCCGCUGUAAAAAGCGCUGCUGGGUUUGCUGCAGGCGCAGUUGCAGUGUGUGUUGCCUGUGGAGAGAGUGAUGACUGUAGCUGCGUACAAUUUUGACUUGAGUUGUGCUGCACAAAACAGGAACUAGAUGUAUCCUUUAGUUUCCUGAUAUUGUCCUACUCUGUCUCUGGAUUAUUUCCUGUUGGCCCCUUUUCUGCAAACGUGUGUCCUAGACAGAGCCUAUUCUUGCAACACAUGUCCUGUUAUGUAGAGCCAAAUUAAGCAAUAGUAAUUAAGUAUUUGUGAAUCAUAAGUAAGUGUAGUUGAAAAUGCUCAGAGAGUGAACAAAGCAGAACUAAUUGAAAACACUGCGUAAAGGAACACUUUAUUCUAAAUAAGAACAAGGACUAGACUAACACGGAUAUAUUGAAGUUCAACGACUACCUACCUGUCUAAAAGCAUUUAUUUUUUUCAAUUUUGUACAUUUAAUUUGCCUCCAUUUGAUCACAAAUAAAACAAAUAUUCCUUUGCACAGGUUUGACCUGUCUUCCUUCUG
ensembl:lncRNA